rnacentral:lncRNA from 1 species
AGUCCUGCCAACAGCUGUGAGUGAGCAUGGACGCAGAUCCUCUCCCAGUGGAGCAUUUGGAUGACCACGGCUCUGGCUAACACCUCACUUACAGCCUUGGGAGAGAUUCUGAGUCAGAGGCAUCCAGCUAAAUUGACCCACAGACACGGCCUAUAAAAGCCCCAGGCUCAGCCAGAGCAGAGCAGAUGAUGGAUGACCAGCUGCAGAGAAGAGCUACCCUUUCUGCUGACAGCAGAAGAUGUCCCAACAACCAGCAGAAGAGAGAAGCUAUCCAUUCUAGGGCCUCUUCUCUGCUGAGAGCUUCAGAAACCUGCAGAGACAUCGAGACUACCAGCUGCAGAGUGGAACAAUCCACUCCAGGGCCACCUCUCUGCUGAGAGCUAAGAAGACAAUGAGAUGACCUGCCUGCUAGGAGGAGCUUCCCUCUCCAGGGUCUCCUUUCUGCUAGGAGCUGAACUCUCAUUGGAACAUCCUGGCUGUGGAAAGGAGCUACCCUCUGCAGGUCUCCUGUGUGCUGUUCUAUUGAUCAAUAAAGCUCCCCUUCAUCUCGCUCAUCCUCCACUUGGCUCUGUACCUCAUGCUUCCUAGUUGCAGGACAAGAACUCGGGACCUACCAAAUGGCAGAGCUAAAAGAGCUAUAACACAGGACUGAAACAUGCCCCCUGCUUGCCACAUUGAGGGCAAAGAGAAGGAGAUAAGAUCUGUGCCUUCUCAGGCAGCCCAGACCUGGGAGCUCCCUGAGCCAGGGCUGUGACUCCCUCUUUGGGGUCCUGUGGUGCCUAGUAUCUCCAAGCUUCCAGGUGCCACUGCAUUUCCCGGUGCCAGCUGGGGAAGCUUCCUGCAGUGCACCUGGUCUGGCCACAGCCUCACAGAGAGUCAGUGCCUGUGCCAGCACCUGUAACUGCCCGCCCCAUUGCAGCAGCCGGCAUGUCCGAUUGCACACUGGCUGAACCCCAUGCUCCCUCACACACCCCUUGCCACUCCAUGCCUGACUUACCCUUGGCAGGUAUGGGAUCCAGGCCAGUAGUGUCAGCCAAGUAAAGCCUGCCAGGCCAGGUAGGCAGAACAAACCCAGCGGGCCUAAGCAAGACUUGGGCAAAGACAUCACCAGCCAGAAAAACAAUAUCCCAAGAAUCUUGUGACACUAGGCAUAGUGAAGUUCUUUAUUAAUUUGUAGAUUUUUAACCUGGAAAAUUCUAAUAUUUUCAACUAUUAAAAAAGAUAAUCCCCAAAAUAAUGCUUUAUUGUCAUGUAAAAUAUUAAAUAGAUUGUAUGUAACUUAGCUAUAUUAUUCUAAGAUAAAAUUCAUUAACUUGUCUUUAAGAAACUAGUUCCUAAAAUGCACUUUGAACUGUAUUUAUAAUCUCACUAGUCCUCUACUUAAUUAGGAAGUGGAAUAAAAUAUUUGAUAUAUUUUCUUUUUAUAUUUACAAAAGUCACCAUUUAAAUUCUUUGAAUUUUAACAUGUUAUACUUUUGGAGGAUCCACUGAGACACUAAAGUGGGUUCAUAAAGCCAACCAAACUGUGAUAGCACAGAAAUGUACUUCAGGAGCUGUUUAGGAGGAGAGACUUUUCUUUCUCCUCAAAGUGAUUCUCAAAUAGCAAUAGAGUCCUGGUGCAGUGGCUCAUGCCUACAAUCGAGCACUUUGGGAGGCCAAGGUGGGAGAAUUGUUUGAGCCCAGGAGUUCAAGAUCAGCAUAGGCAACAUAGCGAGACCUCAUCUCUACAAAAAAUACAGAAAUUAGCCAGGUGUGCCGGCAUGUGCUGUGUUUUUUGUCCAGCUACUUGGGAGGCUGAAGUGGAGGGAUUUCUUGAAACUGGGAGGUCAAGACUGAAGUAAGCCAUGAUCCUGCCACUAUACUCCUACAUGGGGGAAAGAGCAAGACUCUGUCUCAAAAAAAAAAAAAAAAAAAGAAAAAAAGAAAAAAAAGGCAAUAGAACUGUACCUUUGCUGUGAUGCUAGUCUACUACAAGUUGGCUUUUUUCUUUAAAUUUUGAAUUUUUCAUUUUCUUUUCUAGUUCUUCACCAUUUUGGUUCUGGAUAUAGUUUCCACUAGAAGAUGAUAAUGAUGAUAAUGAUAAUCCCCAUGCAUGCAUUAAUAAUUGGGAAUGUAAUUUUAUAAUCUGAACUUUAAAGACCUCUGUUAAGAUUAAAGGGAUUUCUUGUCCUUCAUAUGAGACAUGACAAGGAAUGAGAGUUGCAUUUUUUAAAUUCUUUGUUUCUCUAUUUGUGUAUCCAAAUAAUUUCAUAAAACAUUUUAUAACUACUAGAAGGGAAAAUAAUCCUUUGAAAUCUUGAACAGUGUAUUUUGGUGUUUCCUUGAUUACUUAAUCUGUUGCAGAGAUUGUUAUAAUUAAAGCUACAAUUUUCUCUGUGUUGCUAUAA